CCCAUCUACAAGAAACCUCUUCCGCCACCGUCCCCGGUGUACAAGCCCCCUCCAGUUCCCGUAAACCCACCUGUUCCAAUCUAUAAACCUCCACCAGUUCCAGUCUAUAAACCUCCUCCAGUUCCAGUAAAACCACUUCCUCCACCUGUUCCGAUCUACAAACCUCCACCAGUUGAAAAACCACAUCCUCCACCUGUUCCAAUCUACAAACCUCCACCAGUUGAAAAACCACAUCCUCCACCUGUUCCAAUCUACAAACCUCCACCAGUUGAAAAACCACAUCCUCCACCUGUUCCAGUUUAUAAACCUCCACCAGUUGAAAAACCACAUCCUCCACCUGUUCCAGUCUAUAAACCUCCACCAGUUCCAGUAUAUAAGAAACCAUGUCCUCCACCAGUUCCAGUCUAUAAAUCUCCUCCGGUUCCAGUAUACAAGAAACCGCAUCCUCCUCCAGUUCCAGUCUAUAAGAAACCACAUCCACCUCCAGUUCCAGUAUACAAGAAACCAUGUCCUCCCCCAGUUCCAGUCUAUAAAUCUCCUCCAGUUCCGGAACCACAUCCUCCGCCAGUUCCAGUCCAUAAGC
rnacentral:lncRNA from 1 species